rnacentral:rRNA from 1 species
CUUCGGACUUAGUGGCGGACGGGUGAGUAACACGUGGGAACGUGCCUUUAGGUUCGGAAUAACUCAGGGAAACUUGUGCUAAUACCGAAUGUGCCCUUCGGGGGAAAGAUUUAUCGCCUUUAGAGCGGCCCGCGUCUGAUUAGCUAGUUGGUGGGGUAAUGGCCCACCAAGGCUACGAUCAGUAGCUGGUCUGAGAGGAUGACCAGCCACAUUGGGACUGAGACACGGCCCAAACUCCUACGGGAGGCAGCAGUGGGGAAUCUUGCGCAAUGGGCGAAAGCCUGACGCAGCCAUGCCGCGUGGAUGAUGAAGGUCUUAGGAUUGUAAAAUCCUUUCACCGGUGAGGAUAAUGACUGUAGCCGGAGAAGAAGCCCCGGCUAACUUCGUGCCAGCAGCCGCGGUAAUACGAAGGGGGCUAGCGUUGCUCGGAAUUACUGGGCGUAAAGGGAGCGUAGGCGGACAUUUAAGUCAGGGGUGAAAUCCCGAGGCUCAACCUCGGAACUGCCUUUGAUACUGGGUGUCUUGAGUGUGAGAGAGGUAUGUGGAACUCCGAGUGUAGAGGUGAAAUUCGUAGAUAUUCGGAAGAACACCAGUGGCGAAGGCGACAUACUGGCUCAUUACUGACGCUGAGGCUCGAAAGCGUGGGGAGCAAACAGGAUUAGAUACCCUAGUAGUCCACGCCGUAAACGAUGAAUGCUAGUUGUCGGGGCGCUUGCGCUUCGGUGACGCAGCU